GUUUGCACUCCACCCUCAGUCCCCAAAAUCUGGCGAUCUGUCAUCGAAGUCCAGCCACUCGCGUCGCCAAUAUGAACGUCACUUUCCAGAUGUCUCAUGAACCAUCGCCAAGCUAAAGUGGUCUCUUUUUGAACUACAUCAUAUGUGAUGGGAUAUAUGCAAUCAUUUGCAUCAUGUCCAACAACAGUCAAUAGUAUUCCACUAAAACAUCCACGCAAAUGGUAGCCAGCCACUUCGAUAACCUUUCUACAACCAUUGACAAAAUCCUUCUUGCAUGCUUCAAAAUAGACAUGGAUGCCCUGGAAAACUUGAUUAUGUUUGGCAAUGAUGGCGGUUUAACCCAGGUUAGUCCUUAAAACCUCCGCAGCAUAACACCACAAUUUACCAAAUUGCUCGUUGAUUGUUCCAUGUAACAAUUCCUUUGCAUACCGUCUCAUUUUCCAUGUCACGUUACGAGUAAUGUCAGUCUUCAAAUCGACCUUCACUGUUGCAAGUAUACUCUUCAUCUUCCAUUUUGCGUAUGCCUUAAACUGCUCAAUAUAUCGGUUAGUCAGGAAGACAUAGUUGCAAUGUCUCGGUUGCAUGUGUGAUUCGGAGUAUACAACUUCACUUGGAAACUUCCUAUUAGUCCCACGCUCAAUGCCCAUAGCCUCCAUCUACAA
rnacentral:lncRNA from 1 species